ACAUUUGUCGAAGUCAUAAACUGAACCCACCCCCCAUCUUCCAGAAACAGACUUGAACGGCCUUGCUUUAUUCAAACAUGGCGUCUCUCGCAGCCACCGGGUUCCCCAAAGCCCCAACGCUCUCUUCCAAAAUCCCCCCCAAAUCUCACCAAUGCCCACAAUUUACGUGUUUGAAACGGCACUGUUUCACCUCUAAAGCGCCCAUCUUUCUGAAAACCGCCAUUAGAGCUUCGAACCCAAGCGCCGCCGCCGAGUCUUCUUCUCCGGGACUCUACUCCGCCAAGCAGUACGAACUCACGGUUCCCAACGUCGACUUGGUUCUCGAGGACGUCCGCCCUUAUCUCAUCUCCGAUGGCGGUAACGUCGAUGUUGUCUCCGUUGAGGACGGCGUCGUUUCGCUCAAGCUUCAAGGGGCAUGUGGGAGCUGUCCGAGCUCAACGACCACCAUGAAGAUGGGAAUCGAAAGAGUGCUCAAGGAAAAGUUUGGAGAUGCGCUCAAGGAUAUUCAACAAGUCUUUGAUGAAGAAAAUAAAGAGAUCACAGUUGAGGUAGUGAAUCGUCAUCUGGACAUAUUGAGACCAGCCAUAAAGAACUUUGGCGGGAGUGUGGAAGUGUUAUCGGUUGAAGGUGGGGAUUGCCAUGUAAAUUAUGUAGGGCCUGAGUCCAUCGGAUCAGGAAUCAAAGCAGCGAUUAAGGAGAAGUUCCCAGAUAUCGUCAAUGUUGUAUUCACUGGAUAGCUUUGACUCCCAUGGAGAUGUCUUCCGAUUUCAAAAUGUGAUUGUUCAUCUAAGAGCCACUGGUGAUGCUCCUAUAUGCAAGCCACAAAUUCAAGCUGCAGAGUAGAGAGGUUGUCUCAUUAUCCAGCUUGUCAAAUUGGAUUUAGAGUUACAGUGCUUGUUGGCUCCUGAUGCUUGCCAAACAUUUAGAAUCCCAGAUUUUUCAAGAACCUUUGGUUGUACCUCUAUUCAAGGCUCUUGUAAAAGGCAACCUGAAAAUUGCCUGUAUCCAAAUGAAUGUUUUAGUUUCUUUGCUUAUAUCUUAUGUAAAUUUGUUGUUCAGUUUUGUUUGUGAUAAAUGUUUUGGGGUGUUCUUGUCGAUUUCA